CCGGCGUGGUCGACAGCAGCGUGGACUCGUACUGCUUCCCGGGGGGCGCCGGUGCCGACGAGUACCACGAGUGCGUGGUGGGCCCCGUGGCGGGCGGGAUCCAGUCGGAGGAGGACGACGGCGCGGGCAGCGACGAGGGCUGCAGCUACUACCCCGACGACGCCGCCGCCGUCUUCUUCGCUGCCGCGCAAGGGCAGCACCACCAUCACACGGACGAUGACGAUCAGGACGAUGGUCAGAUCAGCUACUGGAUGUGGAACUAGCAGGCUAGCUCGCGCAUCAAGCGUGCGUGCGUGCGCUCGCCCCGAAAUCAAUCAAUUUCGUAUAUUUCGCUCUAUAUCAGUAA
rnacentral:lncRNA from 1 species